CAGUGUUUCCAAGGAGGAGAGGGAGGAAUAACCAACAUUUCCGGCCAUCGGCUGCUCGCGCAGCCCCCGGGAGCUCCUCAGGAAGGUUUUUAAAGGAAUAUUUAUGGAUGAUCCCGGUGAAUCAGGCCCUAAAAGGAAAACUGAGCACAGGAGGAGGGAUGGUUUGGUGGAAGAGCAUCCUGGGGUUUCCAUUUUCAGAGCCUUUUCCUGAGACAUGAGUCACUUAAAAGCCUCCUGUAGACUCAUUGAUAACAGAAACUCCCUCGAGGUUUGCAUGAGCUCCAGGAGCAACCCAGUGGGGCAGCUGGAGCCUCCUGGCAUGGGGGAAGCCCUGCUGGCUGUGCCCUGCCCAGGACAAGGGACAUCAUUUGGGGUCAGCUCUGGUAAGUCACAAAACCCCCAGGGCUGGGACCCCAACUCCAGUUCAAGCCAUGGGGAUGCCCGUCAACAAUGAUGUGUUAAAUCAGCAGAAAAACUGCUUUCCUCUCUCUUUGGAUUCCUUGUCCUGCUUGCAGGAAUCAGGGACCCUUCCCUCCACUGGGGAGCCACAAAGCUCCCGUCUCGGCCAACCUUUUGUCUUGGUACAGCUCUGGCCUUUGUGCUCUGUAUUAAUUUAAGAUGCUGUGAAGUGAGAGCUGUGGGGGUGGGAGAUGCUGUCUAAAAGUUGUUCAGAGCCUUUGCUGGAUAAAUCCCCGUGGAAUUUCAUUUAAACGAGCUGACACCAGUAUGAAUCAUGCCAGCAUUACCCGCUCUCCAGCACUUCCUACCAACUGCCUGCAGGGCUCUUGCUUUUUCAAGUGAAGACUAAAAGCAUCUAAAACAGUUUAAGACCCAAAAGUCUUAAAAUAAUAGGUUGGGUUUUUUUUUUUUUCACUGAGGAAGAAACAACAUCUGCUAUAAAAAUCUGCUGGCCAGGGGCAGUGGGAGCGGAUACCACUUAUCAGGGGUUGGAAAGUGCCUCAGCCCGGGCCCCAGGAUCCCAAAGUGGUGUCUCAUCUGUCUGCAAGCUGGACAGAUUAGAUGUACACAGAGAGGAUGGAGAAGUAGGGAUAAAAGAAAGGACACGGGGAAUUCAGUGGAGGGAGGAAGGAAAUAAAAGCAAGACUUCCAGGAAAGGGAAGGAGACAACACUGUGUUUAUAAAUACAUACCUGGGCUUAAGUGAAGGCUCCUAAAAGCUGCUGGGACACAGUCAGGCUGCUUUGGAAUAAAAUCCACGAGGUAGAGUGUCUGUUCCCAGGAUUUAACUGAAGAGUGACAUCUCUUCAGAGGCAGGAAAGUGGUCAGGAGUAAGCAUGAAACAUGUAAGAUUGCAGAAUUCAAAAGGAUAAACAUUAUUUGAUACCUUAUUUAUAGGGCACCACAGGGGAAAGGUAAAGGUUUCAGAAAAGAAAGAAGCACUUUAAUUUUAUCUGGAGAUUUUCCAACAAUAAAAUCUAAUCCAUCAUUCUCCGUGUGUGACUGCUCUUAAUGAAAAUUUAGAGGCUGUGAGUGAAAUUUAGAAUUCCCAGGGGAUACUAUUAGGAAGAUGUCUAGCAGCUAUGCAAAACCUGUUAGAUCAGAGCCCUGCCAAGGGCCGGGAAGAGUGGAGUGUGAAAGGACAGCUUUUAAUUCCAUGUGCCGAGGCUCUGCAGGGCCCAGCCUUCCUCUCCUGGGUGGCAGCAGCACUCCUGGGAUGGCUCCCACCAGGAUCAGCUCACUGGGGGAUUUCAAAGAGACAAGACUUGGCCCAUUUACAUUUAUUUUUCCCCCAAAGAUCCUUCAUGGUGAUGAGAGUGGUUGAUCUCCUCUCCUCUCCCCUCCUCUCCAGGUUUCUUGCCCAAAUUUAGGGAUCACAGUUAGGAGCUUUCCAAAAGGCAGAGAGUGAACCUAUUUAAUCAGAGAAUCAUGGAAUGGGUUGGGUUGGAAAGGACUUUAAAGAUCAUCCCGUUCCAUGGGCAGGGACACCUUCCACCAGACCAGGUUCAAACUUUGGACACCUCAGCCCAUCUUGGAGCUGCACAGAGCCACAAAGUGCCUCCCAGCCUGACCCCAAGAUGAGCCCCAGCCUCGUGCAACAUCAAAAAACCAAGACCCCGUGGAAUGUGUGACCUUUAAUGGCAGAUGAUUUCCAAUCAUAAGACUCCGUUGGAUCUGAGUAAUUAAGGACAAGACAGGCCUGAAAGUGCUCUGCCUGCAGACAGGAGGAGCCUACAGAGUUCCCUGUUCCCAAAAGCGGGGCUGUGAGAUCUGAGAGCACGGGCAGCACGGCCGGGUUGUUCCUGCCUCGGCUCCGGUGGGAACAUCCUUGGUCCAAGGCUGGAAGGUGGGUGAGGAAAGGGUCAAAACACAUCCCCCCCAACUGCAGGAGGAGAAAAAUGUUGGCAGAGCAAACCUUGCCACAGGAAUAAAAGGUUGUCCUGCCUGUUCAUGUUACUCCACGCGGGGUGAGUAAAACUGUCCGUCGGAGCGAAGCGUCUGAUACACAAAGGGAAUAAAAACUCAUUAAAGGGCUGAAAGAAAACCCUGUUAAAAUACCAAAUAUACAAUGGAGGAGACUUGAACACCCUCAUGCUUGAGGAGUGUCAGGCUUUGAAGGAAUCUGAUUUUUUUUUUUCCCCUGAAAGCAGCGGAAAUGCGCUCUGUGGGAAGCCAGGUGGGAUGAGGGGCAGGUAGAGUGUCAAAGAGCACUGAUAAUACUUCAGGGCCAUGCUCAGAGCCUGAAAUACGGAGGGGAUUUAUUCAGCUUUCUGUGGGGAGGGGAGUGACAGCAGAUUUUUGAAGGAAUUCCAAUGUGGUUCAUACUCGUCUGGUUCUUAAAUCCCUUGGCCGCUGCUGUGCCGGGGUAGGAGCAUCUCCACUGCUCCCCACAGCCCACAGAGAAUCAGCACUGGUGGCUCCUCGGGGUGCUCCUGCCCUGGCCUUGCUCUUGUCCCCCUGAAAAACCAAAAAAAAAGAGCUUUUUAGAGGGCCUGAACUACCCUGAGAACCAUCUUUCUCACGGCAUCCCUGAUUCUACUUUAUGUGGUCUUGGGGAAGGGAAGAAAUUACAAAGGAAAAGAGUAA